rnacentral:lncRNA from 1 species
CUUCCUUCUGGCUGGACAGUGGAGUGAUGACACUAUCCUGACCCGAGGGCCAGUGCUGUAUAUGGCGGAGCAUGAGAUAGAGAGGGCCUGGGACCUUGAAGACUGUGAACCCUGUGUGAAGAGCAGCUGGUACUGUCGAUUUGGAAAGCUGGCUGGAAAAAACUUAUUCAUGAAGGGGCUGGAAGGAAAGACAAAGCAAGUC